AUGUGCUCUGUGUUUGCUCCUCGUUCAACCGUGGAGACGCACGAUAUACAGCUGACAAGAGUGAAAUAGAGCCAAAAGAAAGGUGAAAGAACGCGCCAUUGGAAGUAUAUCAUCCAACCACAUUGUUUGUCAGCCUAAACCACAGGCAUCAUGAAGUGCACAGUGAGUCUGACCACAGUCAGUUGUAAGAAGGACCGGCUGUCUGAAUCUCAUGAACAGAGGGACCACCUGCGCAGCCAAAGUGACAGGCACCUCUCCCCUGCAUAUAGAAGAUUCCCACUGCUGCCUUAAGUCCCCACUCCUCUGUGUCUUCCAAGACAUCGUACGGCCGGCAGAUGGGGCGUGGAGAUGAGAUUUCUGAGAGUGUUUAAGCCCGAGACACAGGGAGCCUCUUCAGGGUCGAUGGAGAACAGAUAAUCUAACGACUCCAGUGAGGGGAUUACAAACAUACAGGCAGACCUCUGCUGUUGAGUCCUGCUGUGGGGCACCUUCAUAGGUCACCUCUGUGAAAUUUGACUGAGGGGAUUACUGUGAAUGUCAACUAUGUGUAUUUUUAUUUAACAUGAGUCACGGCUGGGUGGCCUCUUCUGGAUUGUAGAUAUUUUGGUGUAAUUUUCAUGGUGAUUCCUAAUGGAGAAUGACUGUGAAAAUAUCUCAUAUCAAACAUCUUUACCCUCAUUAUGCUGAUGUAGCUCAGUUUUUUACCUCGACCUGUAAGAAAUGAAGGGUAUGGAGAUUUUUAUAGUAUGCUUAAAACAAUUGGUUGAGUCCAACUGACUCAGUGCUGAAGUGUCAGUGACACUGGAGCAGACAUCUUUAGGAAAACGCUUGACCCACAGAUCACCUAGAAUGAAGUUAAACUGUUUCAUCUAAAUGGACCUGAAUCCUUUUUGUUUAACCUGGCUCCGGUCGUGUUGGCACCACCCAGGCGAUGUCAGGAUGCAUUUCCUCUCAUGCAAGUGAAGGGGUCUGCCACUGUGCCACAAUCUGCACCCGCUUCUCAGGCAGGCUAAACCCUUUGACACCA